rnacentral:rRNA from 1 species
GAACACCAGUGGCGAAGGUGCUUUUUUGGACUGUAACUGACGCUGAGGCUCGAAAGCGUGGGGAGCAAACAGGAUUAGAUACCCUGGUAGUCCACGCUGUAAACGAUGAAUACUAGGUGUAGGGGUUGUCAUGACCUCUGUGCCGCCGUUAACGCAUUAAGUAUUCCGUCUGGGGAGUACGGUCGCAAGAUUAAAACUUAAAGGAGUUGACGGGGGCCCGCACAAGCAGCGGAGCAUGUGGUUUAAUUCGAAGCAACGCGAAGAACCUUACCUAGACUUGACAUCUCCUGCAUUACCCUUAAUCGGGAAGUCGCUUCGGCGACAGGAAGACAGGUGGUGCAUGGUUGUCGUCAGCUCGUGUCGUGAGAUGUUGGGUUAAGUCCCGCAACGAGCGCAACCCUUAUUGUUAGUUGCUACCAUUUAGUUGAGCACUCUAGCGAGACUGCCCGGGUUAACCGGGAGGAAGGUGGGGAUGACGUCAAAUCAUCAUGCCCCUUAUGUCUAGGGCUACACACGUGCUACAAUGGCAAGUACAAAGAGAAGCAAGACCGCGAGGUGGAGCAAAACUCAAAAACUUGUCUCAGUUCGGAUUGUAGGCUGAAACUCGCCUACAUGAAGCUG